rnacentral:rRNA from 1 species
CUACGGGUGGCAGCAGUGGGGAAUUUUGCGCAAUGGACGAAAGUCUGACGCAGCAACGCCGCGUGGGUGAUGAAGGUCUUCGGAUCGUAAAACCCUGUCGUCAGGGACGAAGGUAAUGUGCCUAAUACGCAUGUUGCUUGACGGUACCUGGAGAGGAAGCCCCGGCUAACUCUGUGCCAGCAGCCGCGGUAAUACAGAGGGGGCAAGCGUUAUUCGGAAUUAUUGGGCGUAAAGGGCGCGUAGGCGGCUUUUUAAGUCAGAUGUGCAAUCCCCGAGCUCAACUUGGGAACUGCAUCUGAGACUGGAAGGCUCGAGUGCUGGAGAGGGUGGUAGAAUUGCACGUGUAGCGGUGAAAUGCGUAGAGAUGUGGAGGAAUACCAGUGGCGAAGGCGGCCACCUGGACAGUAACUGACGCUGAGGCGCGAAAGUGUGGGUAGCAAACAGGAUUAGAUACCCCCGUAGUC